UACGUAGGGUGCGAGCGUUAAUCGGAAUUACUGGGCGUAAAGCGUGCGCAGGCGGUUUUGUAAGCCAGGUGUGAAAUCCCCGGGCUCAACCUGGGAAUGGCAUUUGGGACUGCAAGGCUGGAGUGCGGCAGAGGAGACUGGAAUUCCUGGUGUAGCAGUGAAAUGCGUAGAUAUCAGGAGGAAUACCGAUGGCGAAGGCGGGUCUCUGGGCCGAUACUGACGCUGAGGAGCGAAAGCGUGGGGAGCGAACAGG
rnacentral:rRNA from 1 species